AGAUAUACUGCAGUGUAUUUAAAGGAGAAUGAUCAUGUGUAAGAAAACAUGCAAGUAAUAUUUACAUCUUCAAGAUCUCCAUUUCUUGUGUGGCUCCAAAAUAUAGUUCACUGUAAACACUCUCUUCCAGCUAAACUACUGGGAAAGAUUUCUCAGAAACUUUGAAUCUCUGUAAAAACAAUGCCAACCAAGCCGUCUUCAGAAGACCAUGUCUGGUCAGUGUAGUAGCUCAGUAAGCCAUGGACUGGAACUCAAGUUGCGGCUUUAAAAAUCCUACCACAACCUGGGGGAUGCCCCUGCCCCUAUAUUACUGUAUAGUUUCUCUUUUUCACAUUCAAAGAAAAGUAAUAGAAUAAUUAAAAAAAAAGAAAAAGAAAAAACACCAAGAAAACAAGAGAUGCUAAAUCUGUAGAUGUGAUUAAAUCAGUUAGAUCAUAAAAAAAAAAAAAAAAAAGCAAUGUAGCUGAGGUUUCUAGGGCCAGUUCUGUGCCAAACAUCCAAAUGGCACAGCAGUGCCUGCAUCCAUAUAAUUAAAAACUGCAGAACUGGAUGGCCACCUUCAUUGUUUAAACUGGAUGUGGGCCCUAACUUAUACCCGCUCCUGAACUUGGAUGGAUAGUGCUGUGUGGCCUUCAUUAGGGGUCAGUUUAGCAUUUUUAAAACUUCAAAUGCUUUUGUUCCCUUGGUUGGAAAUGUUGCUUACUACUGUUAAAUUCUCUAAAGGAUAAAUAUGUCACUGUACAAGAAUACUGCUAUUUAUCGAGGAGGGAUUCAGCAAUCUGGUGUGUGUAGUUUGAAAUAAGGUUUAGAUUUCCCAACUGUAUUUCUUUCAUUUUUGAGGUGAUGCACAAAAUACAAUUAAACCAGGAAAGACAAAUAUUUUUAGUCAUUUUCUAAUAUUUAUUUUGACAGUAAUGGAUUUUACUUUGCUGGCCAUUUUGUGCACAGUUUCUAUUAAGAUCUGAGGAUCAAGUGUUUGUGAUUGUCUAACAGGCAUGUUCACUGUUGUGAAUUAGCCCAGCAGACAGCUCAGCACUGCACAGCUCCCCAGUAAAGGACAGAACUGGAAACAAAAGAGAAUACUUGAGAUAUUUUUCGUAUAAUCCAUUCCAUUUCUCACAAAACACUUCUGUUCUGAUCAGAAAAGCUACUAAGGAGUUUCCUUUUAUGAUUUCAUCAUAUUUCGGGGAGAAAGUAGAGUAUGUUUCUUUUUCCUCCCUGCAGAAAGUCAUGUGGGUGGAGUUCAGAGCUGCUAUUUCCAUCUUAGACUGUGUGUUACAACUUCUUUCUUAAAGGAGCAUCAUUGAUUUUUCCUUCUAUUUAACAAAGGACUUACCAGUACAGUUUUCCCUACUGACACUUAUUAUGAACAAUGAAAUGUGUCCCUCUUCUAAAGCCAGAUGUGAUUCCCUCAUUGACUCAAAGGAGUUUUGAUGAUACUUGAGGGCAUGAUAUGGAUGCACAGUGGAAAAAGAACUCUGCAGUCUGCUUGUCACUACUCCAGAAACCAAAGGAGAGAAUUAUUAAUUAGUACAAACUAUUUUGUGAGAAUAUAUCAGAAGAGAUUAAGAUCCCAGACCUGGAAGUCAGUACUUUUCUUGUAUUGUAUACACAUUUUGCAUACUGAAUGUUGUUGGUUUGUAAUUUAUUGUCUUCUUUCCUCUUCGUUUCCUGUCCCUGCCCUUCUGUCUCAAGUCUGCAGUCUUUUUUACUGCCACUCUUUAAAUGUGAGAGAUCGUGUUCUUGCAUGCUAGGGCAUAGUAAUUGCCCAUUACGUCUUGCAAACAUUGUUUUCUCAUAACUUGUAGCAUAACUCCCCUCUCUCGCCAUUCCCUAUUGACAAGACCUAGGGAACCUUUCCACUGAUCUUAAGUUUGUGAAAACAUACCUGGAUUUUACAGGUCUGAAUGGGUUUGUGCAUGAGUACUACUCUAGCUGAACGUAAAUGGCAUCAAUCAGCUUCACUGAUAACAUCCAUUCUGAGUGAUUAACCAAACCUUCUUUCUUUCUUUGCGGCCACAUUUAUUAUCUUCUGAAAGUCUCAUGAGUAAACUCACCUCGGUCUACGAGGUGAACAAUUUUCUCAUUGAGAAAUGUCUUAAUUUUUCCUGUUUCAGACCUUCUUUUUCAUUUUUUCAGACACGACUUUUCCUAAACAAGCAUUUUCUAAGGUUUCUUAAAGUAGAUUUAUUUUGGUAGAAUUAUACAUGAAAGCAAAUAGUGGACAAUUCACUGUAAGGAAGAGCAUUCUGGGGAGUAUACUGAAUAGUUCACCUGGGAGAAGAGAUCCUGCUUUCUCCACAGACUUCCCAUGAAGCCCAAAGCAAAUUGCUUAACAGCUUUGUUAAUCAGAUAGAUGCAAGAUGUGAUUUCACUUCUAUUUCUAGCUUGUCUAUACUGUGAGGGUGUUAGGAUGGUCACUGUACUUGCAUACAUUCCAUAAGAAGUAUGUCUUCCCCACAGCUGGGUCUACCCCGAUAUUAAUUACAAUGAUAAAGCUCACAUAGGAAAAGUGAGUUUGACAAUAAGUUAUUCUGAUGCUUGCUGUCCAUAUUCUGCUGCUGUGCUCUGGUGUAUGGAUUGCAAUUUCAAGCAAAUCCUGCUGUUUCAGAUUAUCAGUCUGUGACUGAAAUGACUGUUACAGUGCUGUAACCCUGUAAUCCUGGCAUCUUUCAUUCUGCACUGCUGCUUUGGUGAAGUAACAUAGAUUUGCCUUAUGUAAGGUCUUCCAAGUUGGAAAUUAAUUAAAUAAUAGUCUUCCUCUGGAUAGCUACUAGCAUUUGGUGCGUUAGAGCAUCCAUCUGAACAUUUUGAACUAAUUUGCCAUCAUACUGGGCUCCCAAAUACUCCUUCAAAUCCAGGUAAUCUGUGUAUUUUGCUUUUUCAGAGUUUUGACAAAUUGAAGGGAACUCCAUUCACACACACAGAAAUUUCCACAACAGUUUCUUCCCUUUUCAUUUUUGGCCUAGAAAACCAGUUAUUCCCUCCAAAAGUAUUUUUUUCUCUCUUUUGUUUUGCAAAAAGGCAUGUCCUGUAGAUGGUCAGUGAAAUGCUUUUAAAGCACCUCAGGCAGAACAAAAUGUGCUAGCAAGCAGUUUCAGCUAUUUAUUUAUCUGGAAGGCAACAAGUAUAGAUAAACUGGCGUUAGCAAAAUCUUUUUAUUUUAAGGCUUCCUGCUAGAAGGACCAGCAAACUCAGGAAAGCAACCUUUUAUAAAGAAGUGAAUUAUUACAUUUUUUCUUCCUAUUUAUUCUUGAAUUCAUAUUUCUGAAAUUUAAGUAGGGGAUAAUACUUUCCCUUCCAGCUGGGACUUCACCAGCAUUCUGGUUAGACUUCCCCUGCUCAGCACUCCCCAAGCAGCAAGCUCCUUGUUCAACUGUGUAGGCCUCCUGGCAGUUAUGCCUAACUUUUUCUUGGCUGAAAUGCAAUGCUCUUGAUCUUGGAAGAGAUGAACCUUCAAUACUAACCAGCUUUCUUGGGCCCCUCUUCCCUCCAGGGUUUUAUCCUACAGAACUCUGCUAAGCAGAUCCCUGAAGAGGCCAGACAGCUCUCCUGAAAUCCAUGGUUGUGAGCAAGCAUCCUCC
ensembl:lncRNA